CUUCACCGACCCCAACCACAACGGCUGCGCCCGGUCCCGACCGUACGUCGCCAGGAUCGCCUGCGCCUC
rnacentral:antisense_RNA from 1 species